rnacentral:rRNA from 1 species
AAUAUUGGGCAAUGGACGGAAGUCUGACCCAGCCAUGCCGCGUGAAGGAUGAAGGCGUUCUGCGUUGUAAACUUCUUUUACCAGGGAAGAAAUGAUAUUUUUCUAAAUAUUUUGACGGUACCUGCAGAAUAAGCACCGGCUAACUACGUGCCAGCAGCCGCGGUAAUACGUAGGAUGCAAGCGUUAAUCGGAAUUACUGGGCGUAAAGCGUGCGCAGGCGGUUCGGCAAGAAGGAUGUGAAAUCCCAGGGCUUAACCUUGGAACUGCAUUCUUAACUGCCGGGCUAGAGUAUGUCAGAGGGGGGUAGAAUUCCGCGUGUAGCAGUGAAAUGCGUAGAGAUGCGGAGGAAUACCGAUGGCGAAGGCAGCCCCCUGGGAUAAUACUGACGCUCAUGCACGAAAGCGUGGGGAGCAAAC